rnacentral:rRNA from 1 species
UACGAAGGGUGCAAGCGUUACUCGGAAUUACUGGGCGUAAAGCGUGCGUAGGUGGUUCGUUAAGUCUGUCGUGAAAGCCCCGGGCUCAACCUGGGAAUGGCGAUGGAUACUGGCGGGCUAGAGUGCGGUAGAGGAGAGUGGAAUUCCUGGUGUAGCGGUGGAAUGCGCAGAUAUCAGGAGGAACACCAAUAGCGAAGGCAGCUCGCUGGGACGUUACUGACACUGAGGCGCGAAAGCGUGGGGAGCGAACAGG